rnacentral:tRNA from 1 species
UAUGAAUUUAUCUUAUAAUAAAAAGUAAAAAAUUUUUAAUUUUUUUAAAUUGUUCAAACAAUAGUUCAUU